UAGUGCUCAACCAAUUGUUUGAUGCAUGC
rnacentral:piRNA from 1 species